AUUGAACGCUGGCGGCAGGCCUAACACAUGCAAGUCGAACGGUAACAGGAAGAAGCUUGCUUCUUUGCUGACGAGUGGCGGACGGGUGAGUAAUGUCUGGGAAACUGCCUGAUGGAGGGGGAUAACUACUGGAAACGGUAGCUAAUACCGCAUAACGUCGCAAGACCAAAGAGGGGGACCUUCGGGCCUCUUGCCAUCGGAUGUGCCCAGAUGGGAUUAGCUUGUCGGUGGGGUAACGGCUCACCAAGGCGACGAUCCCUAGCUGGUCUGAGAGGAUGACCAGCCACACUGGAACUGAGACACGGUCCAGACUCCUACGGGAGGCAGCAGUGGGGAAUAUUGCACAAUGGGCGCAAGCCUGAUGCAGCCAUGCCGCGUGUAUGAAGAAGGCCUUCGGGUUGUAAAGUACUUUCAGCGGGGAGGAAGGGAGUAAAGUUAAUACCUUUGCUCAUUGACGUUACCCGCAGAAGAAGCACCGGCUAGCUCCGUG
rnacentral:rRNA from 1 species